AAUAAGCACAGUUGUGGGUUCCAGUGUCCAACAUUUGGCUAUCCGUCUUAUUUGAAUUUUUUUUAUAAUUAGUAUUUUUAUUGUUAUUAGAUGAUAAAAUAUGAAUAGUACUUUAUGCAUGACUAAAUUUUUAAAUUUUUUUUAUAAAUUUUUUAAAUAAAACGGACGGUCAAAUAUUGGACACGGAAGCUUAUGGCUGCACUUAAA
rnacentral:pre_miRNA from 1 species